AAUAAAUACAAUUCUACACUAUUCAUAUCUAACAUUGGAUUUGGACCGUUCGUCUUAUUUGAAUUAUUUUAUAAUUAUUAUUUUUAUUGUUAUUAGAUAAUAAAACAUGAAUAAUACUUUAUGUGUAACUUAUUAUUUUUAUUUUUUUCAUAAAUUUUUGAAAUAAGACGGAUAGUUAAACGUUAGACACAAAUACCCAUCUAUACACUUAUU
rfam:Oryza barthii chromosome 5, whole genome shotgun sequence.